AACCGCUGAUGACUAAUCUUACUUUUUCUGACACCUCGUAUGAGCACUGAACAGCAGUGCCUGAUUAUGAAUUACAAUCUGAGGUUC
ensembl:snoRNA Small nucleolar RNA SNORD60